rnacentral:rRNA from 1 species
GAUGAACGCUAGCGGCAGGCUUAACACAUGCAAGUCGAGGGGUAUAGUUCUUCGGAACUAGAGACCGGCGCACGGGUGCGUAACGCGUAUGCAAUCUACCUUUUACAGGGGAAUAGCCCAGAGAAAUUUGGAUUAAUGCCCCAUAGUAUAGUUUUUUCGCAUGAAGAGAUUAUUAAAGUUCCAACGGUAAAAGAUGAGCAUGCGUCCCAUUAGCUAGAUGGUAAGGUAACGGCUUACCAUGGCGACGAUGGGUAGGGGUCCUGAGAGGGAGAUCCCCCACACUGGUACUGAGACACGGACCAGACUCCUACGGGAGGCAGCAGUGAGGAAUAUUGGUCAAUGGACGCAAGUCUGAACCAGCCAUGCCGCGUGCAGGAUGACGGUCCUAUGGAUUGUAAACUGCUUUUGUACGAGAAGAAACGCUCCUACGUGUAGGAGCUUGACGGUAUCGUAAGAAUAAGGAUCGGCUAACUCCGUGCCAGCAGCCGCGGUAAUACGGAGGAUCCAAGCGUUAUCCGGAAUCAUUGGGUUUAAAGGGUCCGUAGGCGGUUUAGUAAGUCAGUGGUGAAAGCCCAUCGCUCAACGGUGGAACGGCCAUUGAUGCUGCUAAACUUGAAUUAUUAGGAAGUAACUAGAAUAUGUAGUGUAGCGGUGAAAUGCUUAGAGAUUACAUGGAAUACCAAUUGCGAAGGCAGGUUACUACUAAUGGAUUGACGCUGAUGGACGAAAGCGUGGGUAGCGAACAGGAUUAGAUACCCUGGUAGUCCACGCCGUAAACGAUGGAUACUAGCUGUUGGGAGCAAUUUCAGUGGCUAAGCGAAAGUGAUAAGUAUCCCACCUGGGGAGUACGUUCGCAAGAAUGAAACUCAAAGGAAUUGACGGGGGCCCGCAC